CUUUUCCUAAAAUUCCUUCCUCCCCUGAGAUGAGUGAGAUGCACUGUUUCCCACAAGAUGGUGGUGGUGCCAGGAAUUCUCAGUCAAGCACCUUCCGUCAACCUCCAAGAGAAGGUAGUAACUCCAGCAUGGAAGAGAAGGGAUCUCCAUUGUCACUAAGACAAGAAAACUUUAGAUAUGAUGAUGUUGAGCUUAGUGUCAUGUAAUGCCAUAUUUGUAGCAACUAAGUCUACAAAGAAC
rnacentral:lncRNA from 1 species